rfam:Schistosoma curassoni strain Dakar, Senegal genome assembly, scaffold: SCTD_scaffold0002499
AUCUACUUGACGAGUUCCAAAUAAGACGAAACGCGCGUCCUGGAU